rnacentral:rRNA from 1 species
UUUACGGAGUUAAUGGCUGCAUAAAUCUGAGUGUACUAAGGUAGCGCUAUAAUUUGCCCUUUAAAUGGGGGCUGGUAUGAAUGGGUUUACGUGGGAGUUGCUGUGUCACAAAAAUUUAUUGAAGUUAACUUUUAGGUGAAGAGGCCUAGUUUGAUUUAAAGGACGACAAGACCCUAGAAGCUUUACUAAGGGUAAGUUAUUUUUAUAUUUUACUUUAGUUUUGUUGGGGCAACAUAGUUAGAAAGUAUAACUUAGUUUUAUUUACUUACCGGUUGAAACCACUUUUGUGGAUAAGAUAAGUUACUCUAGGGAUAACAGCGUUAUUUUUUUUAAUAGUACGUAUUGUAAAAAAAGUUUGCGACCUCGAUGUUGGACUAAGGUGUCCUUAAGGUGUAGAAGCUUUAAAGGGUUGGCCUGUUCGUCCAUUAAAACCUUACA